AACAAAAACGGACAUUGCUUUUUCAAAUCAAAAUCCAAAUACAUUGAACCAACCAACCAAUUACACCCUUUCUUUCUUCCCCUUUUUCUCACUAGUCACCUACCAAAUCAAGAUCCCAAAACUUCUUAUAUAUUCAUACAACCACCUCAAUUCCAUCACUACAAAAUUGAAGGACGUAACAAUAUAUUCAUUCUUACACUAAUACAUAUUUUUGUGCACUAAGUUUUCUAUUCUACCAUGGUUGUGACUUCACAAACAUUAGAAAUUACGGUUAUAUCUGGUGAAAAUAUUCAUGUAACGGAGGAUGCAUACGUUGUUGUUCGAGGUGAGUCUCUUAAUUGUUACACAACAAAAACGGUGAAAGAUAAUGAUAAUUGUGGGAAAAACUCGAGUUUUCUUUCAUGGAAUGAGAAGUUUUUGUUGAACAUGCCAUUGCAUGCAAGGUCAAUCACUUUUGAGGUGCAAUGCAAGAAGUUUAAAAGUGUACGUCCUAUUGGGGUGGCAAGAAUUGCUCUUUCGGAUUUUCUCAAUGGCAUCGCGCCGGAAAAUUGUUUGCAAAUUUUGAGUUAUAAAUUGAGGAACUGGGAAGGGAGGCAAAAUGGAGUUAUUCAUUUCAGUGUGAGGGUGGUUGUGCCGGAGAAAACAUCGGCUACCGUGGCGGUUGAAAAGCAGACUGUCGCGGAUGGAAAGAAUUAUGGUGGUCGGUUAACUGGAAUGGAUGUUGGUACCAAGGACUCUAAUGGUGUUGCUAUUGGUAUUCCGUUUUGGUGGAAUUACCCAAACAUUAUUUAAAUAUUUAUAUUUAUAUUAUUUGAUUUUUUGCAUUCUUGUCAAAGAUUAAUGAAGUCAAUUUUGAUGCACAAUAUAUUAUUGUGAUACAUACAAGUGUAAAAUAUCAUUUCAACAAAUAAACUUAAUGAUCAAUCUAAGAUUCAACUUAGAUCUUAUAGAUUCUAAGUUGAUAGAUUUAAUGUUUAAAGUUGAUGUUUGCGGUCCAAGAUAUGUGCGCCUGUGAAUAUAAGUUGCAUAAAUGCAAGGAAAAAAAAAAGUAAGUAUAAGAAGCAUAAAAGUACCUUGGCUUGGCAUAGUUGGGGUCGAAUCUCGAGACCAUUUCUUGCAAUUCAUUAAUUAUUCAGGUGGUUUGAGAUCGCAACGCUCGUUUUUUCACCUUAUAUGGCUCUUAUGUGUUUGGGUGUUGUGGAAUGAGCGGAAUUAAUGAUAGAGUUUUCAGGAAUAAACAAAGCUCACUAUCGCAUAUGUUAGAUAAAGUAAAAUCAUAUUACAUGUGGUGGUUGAAAGCUAGUAACGUUGUUUCUAGUUUUGGUACUCAUAACUGGUGGUCGAACCCGCUCUUAUGUAUGAGUAUCGACUGACUAUUUUGUAAUACUGACUAGACUGUGUUUCUUUUCGUGAUUGUUUAGGCACAACUUAUGCUGCAACAAUUACGCUUUCGAUGUUAAUAUAUUUCAUUUUUACUUGUAAAAAAAAUAGUAAAAGGAAAUGGUGUAUAUUAUUAUAAGUAGUAUCGUUCAAACGUUUGUUUUUUGUAUUGUACUGCUAACACGUGUAAAUUAUGAAUAAUAUUUUUUAAGGUGAGAGAAAUACCACAAAGAGAAUAUGAUGUUACUAUGCAUUUUCAACCCUACUAUAUGAAAACCAAAUCGACACUUAUAUUUUGUCCGAAAAUAGUGGUGAUUUAUAAGGUGAGUGCUUGUUGCUUUCCUUCCAUAUUUAUUAGAUUUUUUUUUACUACAUGUAAGUAGAUUAUUAUAAAGAAUAUACGAAAUAUAGUGCAUGGUUUUAUAUUUUUAGAAAUGAUUGUUUGAGAUGAAAACGUUGGAAGAGGGUUUGAGCAAUGGGAUUUGAUUUGAUAAGAAUAUUUUCGGAAUACUAGGAAGGAAGAAGCAACUUAAUCAAAUCCCAUUGCUCAAACCCUCUUCCAACGUUUUCAUCUCAAACAAUCAUUUCUAAAAAUAUAAAACCAUGCACUAUAUUUCGUAUAUUCUUAAUAAUAAUCUACUUACCUGUAGUAAAAAAAAAAAAAAGAACUUCUAUGGUACACCCACAAUUUUGAGUGUACCGGUACUCUUGUUGCACAAAAUUUAUAAAUUAACGAUCACUUUAAUGAAAUAAAAAGGUAUUUGUCAAUAUUUAUAUUUUAGAAAACAUCAUUUCAUAAGAAAAACCAUCAUUUCAUUAUUUAUAAGGAUUAUAUUAAAAAAAAAAAAUUACAUUUUGUCAUAAAAAAUAAUCAAUAUUCAUUGUUAUGAGUAAUAAAAUUUCUUAAAAAUUAAAUUUUAUUUCGUCGAAGCUUUUGGUAAAUAAAAUUUAAUUAUCUUAGUUGUCAAUGAUAGAAAAUAAUUAUUUUUCUUCAAAAAAACAACUGAUUUAUUAUUAAUUUUACGACUUGAUGUACCGAUACACCCAAAUUCAAUGGGUGUACCAUAGAAUUUGUCUUAUGUAAAUGUUAUGUAAAUAAUUCAAUUAUUAUCUUUAAGGGAAAUUUUUAAUUCUUCUUUUUUGAGAGGAAGGUAAAAAUGUGUUCAUGAAAUUACCAAUGUCGACAAACAAUAAUAUGUAACAAAUUUCCAUACAAUUAAUUAAUAACAUAAACAGCGCAUGCAUGCAUGCCAACCGCGGAAUUUGUCUGCAACUAAUACAAAGUCAAAGUCUUCAACGAAAACGUAUAUUUUGCUUUUUCAAACCAAAUUUCAAUUACAUUGAAACCACAAACCAAUUACACUCGUAUUUCUCUCCCUCUUUCUCAUCACUUUCCAUAUCAAAAUCCCAAACCUUAAGCUUAUUAUAUAUUUACACAACUUAUAACAUAACACCUCAAUUCACUCACAAUAAACUUGAAGGACAUAACAAUAUCCAUUCAUUCUUACACCAGCUAACAGGAAGUUUUAUUCACAACUAACAUUAAAUUCUCUACUAUGGGUGUAGCCUCACGCACAUUAGAAAUCACGGUUAUAUCCGGCGAAAAUAUUCAUGUAACCGAAGAUGCAUACGUUGUCGUUCGAGGUGAGUCUCUUAAUUGUUACACAACGAAGACGCUGAAAGAUAACAACGAUAAUUGUGGAAAAAAUUCGAGUUUCCUUUCAUGGAAUGAAAAGUUUUUGUUGAACAUGCCAUUGCAUGCAAGGUCAAUUACGUUUGAGGUGCAAUGCAAGAAGUUUAAAAGUGUUCGUCCUAUUGGGGUAGCAAGAAUUGGCGUUUCGGAUUUUCUUAAUGGCACCGUGCCGGAAAAUUGUUCGCAAAUUUUGAGUUAUAAAUUGAGGGAUUGGGAAGGGAGGCAAAAUGGGGUUAUUCAUUUUAGUGUGAGGGUGGUUGUGCCGGAGGAAAGAUCGGUUACCGUGGCGGAGAAGCAAACGGUGAUGCAUGGAAAGAAUUGUGGUGGCCGGUUAACUGGAAUGGAUAUUGUUGGUGUCAAGAACUCUAAUGGUGUUGCUAUUGGUUUUCCCUUUUGAUGGAAUUACCCUAACAUUAUUUAAGAUUUGUAUUUUUUACAUUAUUUCAUUUUUUUGCAUGCUUGUUAAAGAUUGAUGAACUCAAUUUUUUAAUGCACAACAUUUACUAUUGUAGUAUAUAUACUUAUCUUAUACAAUCUACCUAAAGUCAUGAGUCUUAAUCCCUUUUUUGUUAGGGCCAUAGAAUACUGUUGUACUAUUUCAUUUCUCAAGUUUUAAUUUCUUGUAAAUAACAACAUUUUUAACAGAGUUACUUAUUUGUUUUCUUUGUAAUUUGUUCUUCAUUGUAUUAUAAUUGAAUUUAACAUCUCGAAAAGAAAAAUUAACGGCUAAUAAAAAGUAGACUAAUAUUCAAUUUAGUCCCUCGCAAUUUGUUCACCACUCAAUUCAGUUGAUCGAAGGUGUGGUGUGAAGCAACUUCAAAGGUGGUUCAUGGUUAUCACUAAUGGGUACUAUACGUUCAAAGACACUCCAAUGUUUAACUCAGUGAGGUUUCAAGGUGAUUUUAAGGGAUUUCUCAAAAUGAGAGUGUGUACCUUAUUUCAGCAUGGAUAUAUCAAUUACGUUGUACCCUUAUGGCUUGGUGGUUGGGCAAUCAUUUAAUCAUAAAUUGGGCUCAAAUAUGCUCCACGCGCAUUAUUUGGAGCAUUGAUGCAUGUAGUUCACAAUUGUAAAUGGAUGCAUGAUGGUCGGAUUUAGGCAAGUGCACCAAAUAAUUUAUCAAGUAAUAAAGUGUAAACAGAGUAUCGUAUUUAUAAGAAUUGUCGUUCUAACUAGCCAAUUUCCAUUACUUAUUUGGGAACCGAAAAUAAUAAAUAAAAUAGUAAAAUAAAAGAUAAAAGGGGUUUUUACAAUUUAGUAUGUUUGCAACAGAGCAGGGCCGUUCCUAUGAAAUAGGAGGCUCGACUCUCAUAGUAAAAUAGACCCUCAGUAAAUUAAAAAUGCAAUUUUUUAAAACUUUUUAAUCCUAAGAGGCAAUUUAAGAGGCAUAAAGGAAGACUAAAAAAAAAUUUAGAACAUAAAAUUUAGGAGGCAUAUAUUAGCAACAUAUACCAAAAUUUGUCAACAUUCAACGUCCAUCAUAUAACAAAAUUAGCAAUUAUAUUUUUCAACCUUCAACAUAUAACAAAAAUUUCGACAUUCAACAUAUAUUAUUAGAACUAUAUAUUUACAACAUUUAACAAAAUUAGCAAUUAUACACUGAAAUUUUAAAAAGUAAUUACUAAUACGCCUUAAGCAACGUAUAACAAAAUUCAUGUAGAUAAGCUUCAUUAAAAAAUCAUAAUCAGAAUAACUACUAAACAUGAAACGAAAUAAAAAAUAUUAAGCGAAAGAGAUGUGUUAAGUGAGAGGAAGAAACUCAAACGUGUAUUUUGGAGGCUUGGUUGAGCUUCUUGCAUAUCCCCAAGACCGUGCCUGCAACAGAGCAAGGGUUUAGGAGUUAACCUGCUUUUGAUUGUAGAAUGUUAGCGGCAGUUAGGAUUCUUCAAAUCCCCUCUAUUUAUUUGUUAGAAUUAGUUAAUGGUCAAACAUUAUUCAUUUUCUUAUGUCUUCUAUAAGUGAUGAGUUCGUGGGAUUUUCGUAGUUUUUUUUUUUUUUUUUUUUUUUAUGAAUUUAGUGUUUAACAUUAUUACGCACAAUUUCCAGACACAUUAAGCUAAGCAAAUAUGUGAGGUGAUGCUUAAACUACCUUUCAAAAAUUAUGGAUCCAUCAAAUCAAUCAAAAUUAACCAAAUGAGUAAGUAUGUAAAUGAUAUACACGAAAUAAUUAACUUUCAUUUUACUUGUAAAUUUGUUUAUGUGAUUAAUGUUGAUUGGUUGAAGUAUAAAUUACCCACAAUAUGUAAAUGUAAUAUAGAAAAACUAAUAGUACAUAACAUCGUACUACGUAAUAUGAUAUUAAAAAGUUUAGACGAAUUGAAUCUUGAAGCUCAUUAGAAUUAGGACAAAUCUAAUGGUUUAAGAACACUUACAAAUAUACUUAAUUAGUGAUCCUCCAUAAAAUAAGUCUUCACGUCAACAAUAAAAAUUAAACUCAUAUUCUUGCAGAAUAUGUGCUCAAUUUCUUACCCAUAAAAUCAACUUACAUUCAAAGCGUCUUGAAUCCUUUAUUUAUAGGAUCAAUAUUACAAAAAGUUACAAAUGUCACAAAAGCCAUAAUAAAUGUACACUAUCAUCAGCACUUAUGGGUGUCUUCCAAAAUCAUUGUUAAUUGUAUUUAACUCGUAGACAUCCAUAUACUAUAAUCUUAUGGGUGUUUUCCAAUGCUUGAAAUCUUUUUGACUAAACAGUAGAUGAGAGAAUUAAAGCAUUUUUAAUGACAGAUCCUUCCCUUCCAAUGAUGAACAGACAUGGACAAAGGUUUAUAGGAUAAGAAGGACAUGUUGAUACAACGUGGAGUUGCUCUUUGAUGAGAGGGAGCCAGUGAUGUUUUCUCACACGUAAAGUAAGCAUAAUAUUGUCAUACUCAUGACUACUUCAACCACUAUUUUCAUCUAACGAUUCAAAUUCAAACAACUAAUUAUUUGCUAUAGUCUACUCCCUCAUUUCAAAAUAAUACUCCCUUUCGUUUUAUUUACAAGAGAAAGUUGACUUUUUAGAUACAUCGAAUAAUAUAUAUAUUUAGUCAAGAACUUAAACCAAAUACAUAAAUUAUUUAAUGUAUCUAAAAAGUAAAUUGUCUCUUGUAAAUAGGACCGGAGGGAAUAUUAUUUAAAAUAUUCAUACAAUAUUAAAAAAUGCAAUGAUAAAUAUAUAUAUAUAUAUAUAUAUAUAUAUAUAUAUACAUAUAUAUAUCUUUAUCAAAUUAUUCUUAUUAACUAUUAAUUUUUUUCCCCUAAAAAAAAUAAAUGGUCGGUCUUUCCAUAUAAUUUCAUUUCAUCUAAAAAAUACUUACAAAAUCAAUCAAAUAACGUCUUCAGCAUCCUCCUGAGCGUAGCUCAAUUGACAAAAACAUGCAUUGUUAUAUGUCAGACUCCUCAUUUAUUCACCUUACAAAAUGUAAAUUCUACCCACUGGACUAUUUAACAAAAAAAAAAUAGCUUCAUCAGCUUAGCAUGAAAACGGUGGAAAUUCAUUAAUAAAAAAAGUUGGAAAUGCAGCCGUAAAUUAAAGAGCAAUACAAAGGCAAAGUUAUAAGUCAAAACCAACAAAAACGGACAUUGCUUUUCCAAAUCAUAAUUCAAAUACAUUGAACCAACCAACCAAUUACACUCUUUCUUUCUUCCCCUCUUUCUCACCGGUCACCUACCAAAUCAAGAUCCCAAAACUUAUUAUAUAUUCACACAACCACCUCAAUUCCAUCACUACAAAAUUGAAGGACAUAACAAUAUAUUCAUUCUUACACUAAUACAUAUUUUCGUGCACUAAGUUUUCUACCAUGGUUGUGGCUUCACAAACAUUAGAAAUUACGAUUAUAUCUGGAGAAAAUAUUCAUGUAACAGAGGAUGCAUACGUUGUUGUUCGAGGUGAGUCUCUUAAUUGU
rnacentral:lncRNA from 1 species